rnacentral:rRNA from 1 species
CCUUGUACACACCGCCCGUCAAGCCACGAAAGCCGGGAGGGCCCGAAGUCGCUUACUCAACUCGCAAGAGGGAGAGGUGCCGAAGGUCAAACCGGUGAUUGGGACU